AACGAACGCUGGCGGCAUGCCUAACACAUGCAAGUCGAACGAACCCUUCGGGGUUAGUGGCGCACGGGUGCGUAACACGUGGGAAUCUGCCCUUUGCUUCGGAAUAACAGUUAGAAAUGACUGCUAAUACCGGAUAAUGUCUUCGGACCAAAGAUUUAUCGGCAAAGGAUGGGCCCGCGUAGGAUUAGCUUGUUGGUGAGGUAAAGGCUCACCAAGGCGACGAUCCUUAGCUGGUCUGAGAGGAUGAUCAGCCACACUGGGACUGAGACACGGCCCAGACUCCUACGGGAGGCAGCAGUGGGGAAUAUUGGACAAUGGCGAAAGCCUGAUCCAGCAAUGCCGCGUGAGUGAUGAAGGCCUUA
rnacentral:rRNA from 1 species